UACGGAAGAUGCGAGCGUUAUCCGGAUUUAUUGGGCGUAAAGCGUGUGUAGGCGGUUUAUUAAGUCUAAGAUCAAAGCCCGAGGCUUAACCUCGGUUCGUCUUAGAAACUGGUAGACUUGAGUGCAGUAGAGGCAAGUGGAAUUUCUAGUGUAGCGGUUAAAUGCGUAGAUAUUAGAAGGAACACCAGUGGCGAAGGCGGCUUGCUGGGCUGUUACUGACGCUGAGACACGAAAGCGUGGGGAGCAAAUA
rnacentral:rRNA from 1 species